GACGAACGCUGGCGGCGUGCCUAAUACAUGCAAGUCGAACGAGAGCGACCGGUGCUUGCACUGGUCAAUCUAGUGGCGAACGGGUGAGUAACACGUGGGUAACCUGCCCAUCAGAGGGGGAUAACAUUCGGAAACGGAUGCUAAAACCGCAUAGGUCUUCGAACCGCAUGGUUUGAAGAGGAAAAGAGGCGCAAGCUUCUGCUGAUGGAUGGACCCGCGGUGCAUUAGCUAGUUGGUGAGGUAACGGCUCACCAAGGCCGUGAUGCAUAGCCGACCUGAGAGGGUGAUCGGCCACAUUGGGACUGAGACACGGCCCAAACUCCUACGGGAGGCAGCAGUAGGGAAUCUUCCGCAAUGGACGAAAGUCUGACGGAGCAACGCCGCGUGAGUGAAGAAGGUUUUCGGAUCGUAAAACUCUGUUGUUAGAGAAGAAUAAGUGCUAGAGUAACUGUUAGCGCCUUGACGGUAUCUAACCAGAAAGCCACGGCUAACUACGU
rnacentral:rRNA from 1 species